UGGACCUACACAUGUUUUCAAAUCUACCAAUCCCUUUAACAUUCAUUAGUUCUGGAACGUGAAUCAAGCAAUGCAUCAUCAAUGAACUCAUUUGGCUAAGGUAAAAGGUCAAGAGACAAAGAUGGUCCCUUAUAGAAUAGGCUUCAACAACAGGGGAUCUCUCAAGAAAUGAUUAAGCUUUAGUAGAAUGCUAAAGGUAAGUCCCAAGCUAUGCAUACAGAGAUAAGAUCCCAUCUACCCAGAGUAUGUCAAAUGAAGCUCUAAUGGUAAUCCCAUCUCCAAUCUCAAUAUAAGAACUUAACUCUACCCUAUGCAUUCAUGAAUCUUUUAAACCCUUGUUCUAAUCAUUCUUUUCUUUUCUCUUAACUCUAGGAGAAGCUUUCUCAACACUUUGUUACAUCUAGCGGAUUUGGAUUUCUUUAACAA
rnacentral:sRNA from 1 species